rnacentral:lncRNA from 1 species
GAGAAGAUCUAUAUAUAAGUCUUUUACGUUUCAUCUGAGUGUUGUGGUUUUUCAUUAUGUUAAAAAUAAGACUUUGUUAGUUCAAGUGUCUCUAUAACUAUGAAGAAGAACAAAAGAAAAUGCUUUGAGUGUGGUUUUUCGCCUGCCGAUGAUCCAGAGAAGACCCUACAGAGAUUACCGAAACUUGAUUCUACAAAUUUAGUCUCCGCAAUCCUGCUUCUUCACAUGAAUUUUACCCGCAUGACGACGGUUUUUAAUAUAAAAAAUAUUUACACAAUGUCUCAAAAAGCAAUCAAAGCUUUGAAAAAUAAACAAUGUUCGCAGAAGUUCAGUACCAACAAACUCACAAAAAAUGAGCCCAAAUUUAGCAUUACUUGCAAGCCAGACUAAGAAAUUUCAAAAAGAUAAUUUAAAAGAAGACAAUAGAAUAAAAUAAUAUUAACACACAAUGCUUAGCAAAUAUAGCAUUAACAGAUGGAAACCAGGCAAUAGGUGUAGCAAAAUAGAAGAUGAAGGUCUAGCUGUGCCAGUCAG